AGUGGAUGAGUUCCCCACAGGGGAGUGGGGAGAGGCAGAGGUUAAUUUUCCUGCUGAGAUUGUAAUUGAAGUGAUAAUUGCUUGUGGUGAUUACAGCAGUAGUACUGAGUGGAAAGUCGCUUUCUGCAGGUGGUGGAGUUCUGCAGGUGGUGGAGAGUGUGUAGCAGCACUGAAGGCACUGGUUUUCUUCUGGGCCUCUCACUGUUGGGAUGUUCCCUUAAGGGUGCAGUGCAAUGGGGCUGAGAGUAGAGUCAAAGGAGCAUGGACACAGGGGGGAGAUGGAGUAGAAUGCAGAAGAGAUGCCAUGUCAAGCAACCAGAUGUUGUAUUUAAUGUGAGCUUAUAAACAAGGGCAGCAACUGAUUACACAGUUUAAUGGUGAUAGGAAAAAAGAGAAAGGAUUUGUACUGAAAGAGGAGUGAUUCAGUUUAGAUGCUAGAAGAAAAUUCUUGAUUCUGAGGGUGUUGCGGCACUAGCACAGCUGCCCAUUGAAGCAGUGCAUGCCUGGAGGUGCUCAAGGAUGGGUUAAAAGUGGCCGUAGGUUUUCAUGAGUCUAUGGCUAACUGCAUAAUCUUUCAGGUCCUCUCCAGAUCAAACCAUUUUCUUUGAUGACUCUGCGAUAGACUGGAGAUGGCCAGGAGGUUGCAAGAAAACAGAGCAAGGAGGAGAGCUGACGCAAAGAGACCGAUGGGACACUGCAUGCAGAAUGGGGGCAUGAUCAGCAAGAACAGGUGGGCAUAAGGGGGAGAAGGGAGAAGAUUCCUCCCUUUAAGAAACAGGAAACACAGACCAUGAUGAGGUGUCUGACGUCCCCAAAUAAAAGCGGUAGCUCGGCAGACACGACAGAUGCACCAUGGGCUGCAUCACAGUAUCUCACCGUGGGUAACUCUGUCAGCUAGAAAAAUACCACAGGACAGGUCCUGGGGUUGCAAUGCAAACCAGUGUCCAUCUGCAUGCAGCUGACAUCAAAGUAGGCGCUGUGAGAAGAGAUCUCCAAAAGAUGUUGGGGGAAGCGCAAUGGACCAUGGCAUGUCCUCGUGUCCCUGCCCUCCUGCUGCUGGUGGUGUUUGGUACUGGUGUGAGCACCCAGAACACCUGCAUCUCCAGGGCUGAUGGUGAGUGUGAGAAUGGGUCCAGAAAAAGAAGACAUCCUGGGGGAGAAUAUGGGAAGAGAGAAAAGCAGUUUUCCUCCCUGAAUUCCCAAUGUCCAUCUCUGGAGUGCUGAUUGUCUGUGCCUUGUGAUUCAAUGUGUUUUUCAAGCAAUGAGGUGGUGGAAUCCCUGUGCCAUCUCUCCAGGUACUCUCCAGGCUCCAGUCCUGGUCCUUAACGCAUCCAGUGCUCAGGAAGGAGAAGUUGUCCUGGCUCGAUGUGUCUUUCAGAAACAGUUUCCUGCUACCCGAAUUGUCUUGUGCAAGGAUGGGUUGGAGGUGUACAGUGUGAAGGUCCAAGAGGGAAGGGUCAUGAACUCCAUGCUGCUGAACAUCACUGAGAGAAGUGCGGGGACAUACACAUGUUUCUACCAGCAGAGGAGCACGAAAAACUGGCUGAGGAGCUCUCCCCUCAGCCCUCCCUUGGACCUGCAGGUCACAGGUGGGAUGUGACACCAGGGUUGUGCGGACGCAGGGGAUGGGGAGCUGAACACCACAUAGAUUUUCUGGAUCAAGAAAUGCCAUAGAGAGAAGUGGGCUCUG
ensembl:lncRNA